ensembl:lncRNA
CCAUACUGCAUCUUGGUCAGGUAACAGAUCUGUGUAUGUUUUUGAUGGAAAAGCACUGAAUUCACUUUUAAUCCAAAGGCCUUUUUAAGAUGAAGCAAUACUAACAAAAUAGAUGGGACAGCUGUUUUGUGAGCGGGGUCCUCAGCCUGCCUUUCCUCUCCCCAUUUGACUUAUACUACUGCUUUCCCCUUUCCCUUCUCUCACGCUGUUGGUAGAGCCCAGAGAUACUCCCCUGUGAAGCAGUGUGUUUUUCCAAGGAGCAGGUGGUGAUUUAUUUAGUAAUGAUAAAGAAUAGCAAGUUGCAGAUUUAAUCAUAACAGAAGCGUUUCCUUCCCUGCCCAGCAGAGUGUGGCCCCCCUGGAGCAGGAUUAGUGGGUGUGAGGUAGCAGGAGCUGCAGCAUAUCUUGAUCUCCAUUUUGCUCUUAUAUGUAGUGGGGAGCAGCAACCCUCCUUUCUAAUUACACAUCACUGCUCAGACAUCCAGUGGCACAGAGGAUUGAAGUAUUAGAAAUAAAGUCCAUGUUUUUACUUCCAAACUUAAAUCUCAGAAAAUCACACAAAAAUUGCUGUUGUGUGCAUGCUGCACAUGCGCUGGCAGUGCCUGUAGGCCAAGAAACACCCCCCUGCUUUGUGUGUGCACGUGUGAAGGGGCAGAGCAGCAAAUGUGGGUCCCUUCUCCUGUUGUUAUCCUGUUGUUACCCUAUUGCUACCCUGUUUCUACCCUGUUUUGCUGUAAUGGGGAUGACUCUUUCCCUGGGUGGCCAUGUCCAUCGGCACCAAUUCAGAGGGCAGCCAUCACUGCCUGCUUCUAUCACCUCUUCUGUAACGGGAAUUUCUGCCACUUUAAAUCUCAGAUGCAGUGUUGAAUGGUUUCAAGCUGCCUGCCCUGGGCAGUGCAGGACUGAGAGCAGGGUCUGUCUCUUAUUAGUGCCUCGUCUAGGCAUGAAAGAAGUUACAGCAGUGUAAUCCUUGGGCAGACACAUCCAUUCCUGUUGAAGACAGAUCUCCCACUAUAACCUAAUCUAAAAACUGUUGCUAGUUACAAAUAAAGUGAUGAAGUCAUUUUUGCCUCAAAUAAGAGUAAAGAGGUUUUGCUGGCGUAAUUGGGUCAAUUCUGCUCAUACCUUGGCUUUUAUCAGUGUGAUUUUUCAAGGCUGCUUAAGAGGGGAAGGAGGAGAAGAUGCUGGAGCAGUAAGCUGCAAUCUGCCGCCUUGCCCUUGGUGCUCAUGGGCUUUUUCAACCCGCAGCAGCUGCUGCUGGUGGGCCUGUUCCAUUCUCCAACACAGUCACCGACCCUGGCUGAGGUUCCGGCUUGUUUCUCCCUUUAAAUUUUCCAGGUGUCCCCUGUAGCAUGAGGGUUCAGAUGGCUCCUGUGGCCCUGGCAGUGGGGGAAGCUGCCCCUUCCUAAGCAGCCCUGUGGGAAGUGCAGCAGCUUGGCUCUGGUGGGCCUCAGUUGGGAUGUGUGGUGAAGAUCCUGGUGGCUCCAGACUCAUGUUGGGCAGCGUAGGCAUCCUGUGUGAUGACUUGGAUGUUUACAACUGUUCAGUGCCUUAGUUAUCUUUUAAUGGAUCUGCACUUUCCUUGGGCUACUUCUAUUUCUUUUUAAGAAAAUAAAUUCUUUUAACUGCAUGUCUUUGAUUUUAAUAUAUGCUACGAGCUACUAGGUGCAACUUGAUGGAACGAUCUCCACGGGUUUGUGAGAGGGCAUUAAGUAUUUAAGAAAUCAUAGAAAUAGUGGGGCUCAGUGUAAUAGUCUCUGCAAGUACAGGUCGCCAUAACACCUUGAAGUCUUUGCAUGUUUUACAGUGCUGGUUGUUGAAGCAUGUAUUUUAGAAGGGGGAAAUCCAGCAGCCAGUUUGGGAGUGUUCCCCGCAUGGCAUCAGCCCCUGCUGCUGCCACAUCAGUGCUGAGCUCCUCCUGGCACUCCCCACUCCUCCCAUCAUCUGAUCUUCCUACUGUUCCGUCCAGAUGGACAACAAACCUGCCUUCACAUGAAGUUUAUAAAUAAAACUACUGUCAUGACAUAGUGAAAAAUAUUAGUUCCCCCCCACCAGGUAUUAAUAGCACUAUAGUAAAUGCCAUCAUCAAAAAAA